AAGUCGUAACAAGGUUUCCGUAGGUGAACCUGCGGAAGGAUCAUUAACACGUAUCCAACGUUAAACAACCCUGUGAACCUUGAACGUGCUCUCGCACACGCUCUAGCAGCAAUCCCUGGUAAAUCAUUGUUGACCAGCUAUUGAGUCAGGGACUGCUUUAAAACGAUGCGAUACGAGCGCCAGAGUAAGUGCGGCCUAGUAAACGAUCGCUGUAGGCCCACACGGCCGGCGACCGGGCCUCUGUGCUUCGGCACCUAACGACCCCAUGUUUCGUACCCGGUGCGCUGUAACAACCGCACCACAAACUCGAACAACUGUUAACAAUGGAUAUCUUGGUUCUC
rnacentral:misc_RNA from 1 species